CUGUGCCACAACCAGACAGUACAGAUUUACUCAGAAUAUGGUGGGACAAUUGUGAUACCUGUGCCUUACUAGCCUGUUGCAUUUGCAUGUCAUCUCAUUUACCAUGCCCUGCCCCAUUUGCACUCCCUUGCAGUGGAAGACUCCUCAAACAAAAAGGAGAAAGUCAAGGGGGCAUCCUCAGAUCAGGCUGAGGCUAUGUCCAGGGUGGGUGAAGAUCCACCCCCACUGGAAGGGCCAGAUGUCAUCGUGCCUAUCUUCAAGGGUGAUGGAUCCUACCUGCUCUGUGGAUUUUGGGCUGAUGAGUCUGAAGCACCAGUCCAGGCCUGUGCUGAGCCCUGGCACCUUAUAACCCAGAAGCCCAUUUGCUGUGCUGAAGCCAUUGCGGAGGAAGAGUCCUCCUGCAAAAAGGAGGAAGGGGACUCAGCAUCUGCAGAGCAGGCCGAGGCUAUACCCAGGGUGUGUGGAGAUCCACCCCCACUGGAAGGGCCAGAUGUCAUCGUGCCUAUCCUCAAGGAUGAUGGAUCCUACUUGCUCUGUGGAUACUGGGCAGAUGAGCCUGAAGCACCAGUCCAGGCCUGGGCUGGGGCUCUGCACCCUACAGCCCAGCAGCCCAUCUGCUGUGCGGAGGCCAUUGUGGUGGAAGAUGCCUCCAGCCAGAAGGAGAAAAUAGAGAUGGCAUCUGUGGAGCAGACUGAGGCCACACCCAGGUAAAUCUGCAGAUGGGGUCUUUCUUUCUUUCUUUCUUUCUUUCUUUCUUUCUUUCUUUCUUUCUUUCUUUCUUUUUUUGUGUGAAUAUCUGGAGAUUUGUGACACGGUGGGAGACAAUGUGCAACUGGAGUCCAUUUAUAGCAUUCAAAGUUCCUCCCAAGUAGACUCUGUCUAAGGAGGGCCCCAAACACUUUCCAUGUCAGCCCCAUGUCCAGCCUCCAUUGGACAGCUGCAGAAGUUUCCCUGGGAAAGUCACCAGGCCAGGUCAUUCCUAAUGCCACUGACUCUCUGUGGCCCAUUGAGAGAAUGACCACUCGCUCAGCCUACUGGUUGUCUCUCAUCAGCCCCCCCACCCCACAGUACAAUGGUAGAUACAGGGAAUGUCCACUGCACCCAUGCACUCCUUAGUGCUGAGGGA
rnacentral:lncRNA from 1 species